rnacentral:rRNA from 1 species
AAUGAAAGUCGAGCGGUAGAGAGGUGCUUGCACUCUCUGGAGAGCGGCGGACGGGUGAGUAAUGCCUAGGAAUCUGCCUGGUAGUGGGGGAUAACGCUCGGAAACGGACGCUAAUACCGCAUACGUCCUACGGGAGAAAGCAGGGGACCUUCGGGCCUUGCGCUAUCAGAUGAGCCUAGGUCGGAUUAGCUAGUUGGUGGGGUAAUGGCUCACCAAGGCGACGAUCCGUAACUGGUCUGAGAGGAUGAUCAGUCACACUGGAACUGAGACACGGUCCAGACUCCUACGGGAGGCAGCAGUGGGGAAUAUUGGACAAUGGGCGAAAGCCUGAUCCAGCCAUGCCGCGUGUGUGAAGAAGGUCUUCGGAUUGUAAAGCACUUUAAGUUGGGAGGAAGGGCAUUAACCUAAUACGUUAGUGUUUUGACGUUACCGACAGAAUAAGCACCGGCUAACUCUGUGCCAGCAGCCGCGGUAAUACAGAGGGUGCAAGCGUUAAUCGGAAUUACUGGGCGUAAAGCGCGCGUAGGUGGUUCGUUAAGUUGGAUGUGAAAUCCCCGGGCUCAACCUGGGAACUGCAUUCAAAACUGUCGAGCUAGAGUAUGGUAGAGGGUGGUGGAAUUUCCUGUGUAGCGGUGAAAUGCGUAGAUAUAGGAAGGAACACCAGUGGCGAAGGCGACCACCUGGACUGAUACUGACACUGAGGUGCGAAAGGUGGGGAGCAAACAGGAUUAGAUACCCUGGUAGUCCACGCCGUAAACGAUGUCAACUAGCCGUUGGGAGCCUUGAGCUCUUAGUGGCGCACUAAACGCAUUAAGUUGACCGCCUGGGGAGUACGGCCGCAAGGUUAAAACUCAAAUAAUUGACGGGGGCCCGCACAAGCGGUGGAGCAUGUGGUUUAAUUCGAAGCAACGCGAAGAACCUUACCAGGCCUUGACAUCCAAUGAACUUUCCAGAGAUGGAUUGGUGCCUUCGGGAACAUUGAGACAGGUGCUGCAUGGCUGUCGUCAU